AGGGCACCACCAGGAGUGGAGCCUGCGGCUUAAUUUGACUCAACACGGGGAAACUCACCCGGCCCGGACACCGUAAGGAUUGACAGAUUGAUAGCUUUUUCAUGAUUCGGUGGAUGGUGGUGCAUGGCCGUUCUUGGUUCGUGGAGCGAUUUGUCUGGUUUAUUCCGAUAACGAGCGAGACUCUAGCCUACUAAAUAGUUCGCACAUUGUCUCUGUGUGUGUGACUUCUUAGAGGGAUUUUCGGUGUUCAGCCGCACGAAAUUGAGCAAUAACAGGUCUGUGAUGCCCUUAGAUGUCCGGGGCUGCACGCGCGCUACACUGGCAAAAUCAGCGUGCUUGUCCUUCCCCGAAAGGGGUUGGUAAACCCUUGAAAAUUUGCCGUGAUUGGGCUUGGAAAUUGCAAUUAUUUUCCAUGAACGAGGAAUUCCAAGUAAGUGCGAGUCAUCAGCUCGCGUUGAUUACGUCCCUGCCCUUUGUACACACCGCCCGUCGCUGCCCGGGACUGAGCCAUUUCGAGAA
rnacentral:rRNA from 1 species